UCGGGAAUUUUGGGCAAUGGGGGAAACCCUGACCCAGCAACGCCGCGUGAAGGAUGAAGUAUUUCGGUAUGUAAACUUCGAAAGAAUAGGAAGAAUAAAUGACGGUACUAUUUGUAAGGUCCGGCUAACUACGUGCCAGCAGCCGCGGUAAUACGUAGGGACCAAGCGUUGUUCGGAUUUACUGGGCGUAAAGGGCGCGUAGGCGGUGUGUCAAGUCAGUUGUGAAAUCUCCGAGCUUAACUCGGAACGGUCAACUGAUACUGUCACACUAGAGUACAGAAGGGGCAAUCGGAAUUCUUGGUGUAGCGGUGAAAUGCGUAGAUAUCAAGAGGAACACCUGAGGCGAAGGCGGGUUGCUGGGCUGAUACUGACGCUGAGGCGCGAAAGCGUGGGGAGCAAACAGGAUUAGAUACCCUCGUAGUCCCUGAGCGGGCUGGCAAGGCGCAU
rnacentral:rRNA from 1 species